UUAGAUGAAAUGAGGAAAUUUUACAAAUUAGGGCUAAAAGAAUGGUUUUGAGAUUGGGUUCUUCUCAUCCUAUGGAUUAAAAGUGUUGGGCUCUCUGCUGAAAUUGGCCAUGGAUUCUCCAAGCUCAAGCACCCAAUCACGGUCGCUGUCAAACUUGAGUGCGGGAAGAAGUAGACAAGGAUUGAAUGGGAAGAAAUGUGUACUGACGGUGGAAUGAUAUAGCAAAGAGAUCCGGGGUAAAGUUAAGUGUAGAGUGUGAGUAUUACACUUCCACGACAAAUGAGAAUCCUUGUCGGAGGUUCUACAAAUGCCCUAAUCAACAUGUAGGCCGGUGGCUGUGAAUUGUGGGAGUGGUUUGAUAAGCCUAUGUGUAGCGUUGCAACUCAAAUUUUCCCACUAUAUAGAGAAGAACUCACUAGUUUGAGAAACACUUUGUUUGUUAAAGAGGAGAUGAUUGCAAAGGGUGAUAACGAGAUAAGAGGAUGCCAUGAGAUAUUAUGAGGCUUAAAGAAGAGAUUGAAUAGACUCAACAUGAAGCUGAAUCCUCUUUGGAAGAGGUUGUGGAAUUGACAAAUGUAAUAUCAAAAUUAGAGGCUGCAUUUGUAGUAGAAAAGAGGAAGACGACGUGUUAUUUGAUAUUAUGUUUGAUUGUUUGCUCUUUACUUAUGUAUUUUGUUUAGAAUUGUUUGUAUUGUGAUAUGCGAAAUGGUUGUAUUAUGAUCAACUGGAGGUUAUGUCAUGAUAGUAUUUCAUUGA